rnacentral:rRNA from 1 species
UACGGGAGGGGCAAGCGUUAUCCGGCAUGACUGGGCGUAAAGUGUUCGUAGACGGUAAAACGAGUUAUUAGUUAAAAAUUAAAGCCUAACUUUAAAACAGCUUAUAAUACUAUUUUACUUGAGUUUUCUACAGAAGAGUAGAAUUUUACAUGGAAGGAUGAAAUCUACAGAUAUGUAAAGGAAUACCAAUAGCGAAGGCAACUCUUUAGUAAAAACUGACGUUGAGGAACGAAAGUAUGGGGAGCAAACAGG